CGGUACCUGCAGGGUAUAGGGUUACUGACUGGAGCUGAUCAGGUGCUGGUAAUCCUGCUCAAGUUCCCAUUCCUGGACAGCCAAUUCAAUCAGGUCUGGCCUUAGGUCUUCAGCCAUAGGGAGAUCUAGCAUGGCCUCUCUGUAGUCAAAUAUGUCCCAACUGCGCAGGCCGGGUGGAGGUAUGACACUAGCCUGCUCAGUGCAUCUACGUAAGAGGUAACAAAAUCAUUGACUAUUUAUACACAGACACUAAUUGCAAUUUUAAAAGCCACAGGUGUGGGAAAUGAACCUUUAAUUGCCAUUUUAACCCCUCUGUGACGAAUGACGGACCCGGUCCGUCAUGCCGGGCAAGUAGUUAACGCCGGAUGAUGGACCGGGUAAUAUAUGCCUUUUGAAAUACCCUGGGAUGUCUUCUUUAAGAAAUGGUAUGCCUUUAUGGUGUAAUUGUAAUAUGAAGCCUGCUCAAGUGCUCCAAAGUGAGACACGGACGUAUCAAAACUCAUGAAAAUUCACACUUAAAAACCUGAACUUGUCACGUCUCUUUUACAGCACUGUAACGUCACAAAAUUGUGUCUAG